rnacentral:rRNA from 1 species
GUGACGAGUGGCGGACGGGUGAGUAAUGUCUGGGAAACUGCCUGAUGGAGGGGGAUAACUACUGGAAACGGUAGCUAAUACCGCAUAACGUCUUCGGACCAAGAGGGGGACCUUCGGGCCUCUUGCCAUCGGAUGUGCCCAGAUGGGAUUAGCUAGUAGGCGGGGUAAUGGCCCACCUAGGCGACGAUCCCUAGCUGGUCUGAGAGGAUGACCAGCCACACUGGAACUGAGACACGGUCCAG